UACGUAGGGGGCUAGCGUUGUCCGGAAUCAUUGGGCGUAAAGAGCGUGUAGGCGGCCCGGUAAGUCCGCUGUGAAAGUCGGGGGCUCAACCCUCGAAUGCCGGUGGAUACUGUCGGGCUAGAGUGCGGAAGAGGCGAGUGGAAUUCCUGGUGUAGCGGUGAAAUGCGUAGAUAUCUGGAGGAACACCGGUGGCGAAGGCGGCAUCCUGGACCAACACUGACGCUGAGGAGCGAAAGCCAGGGGAGCAAACGGG
rnacentral:rRNA from 1 species